rnacentral:tRNA from 1 species
UGGCAGAUGGCUCAGAGGGUAAAGCAUCUGCCUGCAAUGCAGGAGACCCGGGUUCGAUCCCUGGGUCAG